CAUGUUUAUUAUAAAUGAACUUCCUUUACAACCAAAUUGUGUUAAUAAUAUAUGAUUUGCGUCGACUAUUAAAUGGAUCUAUUGUCUGUUCCUUUGACAGUUCCAAUCGUAAUAUAUUAAUGUAAGUUGUGAAUUACACAUUAUUCUACAGGCAGUUCUUAAAUUCAUAUUUGCUAUCCUUAGAAUGCUUAUCCUUAGAAUGUUUAUCCAAAAUUGAGGAAACGUCAUAUUCAAAUAAAUUACAAGAUCAUAUUUAGAUUUCUUUUCGUUCUUGGGAUAAAGGAUAUUAGCUUUGAUAAGUUCCCCUGGGCAGGGAAGUAUUGCAAACUUUAUUGGAAAAGAAUGCAAUUUAAAGACAAACACAAAUACAAAUAACGUUACAAACAAAGAAGAAUUAAGAUGGAUAAGGUGCCUUACAUGCACCUUUUCAAUACAGUACGUACAAACAUAGAAAUAAGAUCUACAACAGUGAUGAUGAAAUAAUUCUUUGUUUGCAAUGACGUCAUUUUGGGAUUACUGCUGACGGGCGGGUAUAACAAAAAACGGCUUUUUAAUGUCUUGAUCGAGUUUAGAAGACUAAAAAAAAAUUAAUUACACAGUUUCUUGCUAUACAACCAUUUUGCUGAGGAGAAAAAUCGUCCACAAGUUGUUUGAUUGCCCGUCAUUUGGAUGAAAAGAAUUGCGUGAUUACAAACAAGGAAUACAGAAUCGAUAUUAAACAUACGAUGACUAAGGUUAUGACAUAUUCACAAAACUUUUACAUCAAAUCACAUGAAAGGUCACUUGGUCGUUUUUCAGAUGCGGUGUUUCAUAUAUUAGCGAGCUUAAGAUGUAUAGUCUAGUACACGGAGGGUACAAGUAACUAUGGAAUAAUUAACACAUCCUAAA